GUCUGGGUAGUUCAGUUGGUUAGAGCAUGGUGCUGAUAAUGCCAAGGUUGCAGGUUCGAUUCCUGUAUGGGACA